UCCUACGGGCGGCUGCAGUGGGGAAUAUUGGACAAUGGGCGCAAGCCUGAUCCAGCAAUGCCGCGUGAGUGAUGAAGGCCUUAGGGUUGUAAAGCUCUUUCACCCACGACGAUGAUGACGGUAGUGGGAGAAGAAGCCCCGGCUAACUUCGUGCCAGCAGCCGCGGUAAUACGAAGGGGGCUAGCGUUGUUCGGAAUGACUGGGCGUAAAGGGCGCGUAGGCGGUUGACCAAGUUGGGGGUGAAAGCCCGGGGCUUAACCUCGGAAUUGCCUCCAAAACUGGUCGGCUUGAGUGUGGAAGAGGGUUGUGGAAUUCCCAGUGUAGAGGUGAAAUUCGUAGAUAUUGGGAAGAACACCAGUGGCGAAGGCGACAACCUGGUCCAUUACUGACGCUGAGGCGCGACAGCGUGGGGAGCAAACAGGAUUAGAUACCCUGGUAGUC
rnacentral:rRNA from 1 species